rnacentral:rRNA from 1 species
GGAGGAACACCAGUGGCGAAGGCGGCCUGCUGGGCUUUUACUGACGCUGAGGCACGAAAGCAUGGGUAGCAAACAGGAUUAGAUACCCUGGUAGUCCAUGCCGUAAACGAUGAUUGCUAGGUGUGGGGGGUCUGACCCCUUCCGUGCCGGAGUUAACACAAUAAGCAAUCCACCUGGGGAGUACGGCCGCAAGGUUGAAACUCAAAGGAAUUGACGGGGGCCCGCACAAGCAGUGGAGUAUGUGGUUUAAUUCGAGGCAACGCGAAGAACCUUACCAGGUCUUGACAUCCACCGAAUCCUCCAGAGAUGGGGGAGUGCCCUUCGGGGAGCGGUGAGACAGGUGGUGCAUGGUUGUCGUCAGCCCGUGCCGUGAGGUGUCGGCUCAAGUGCCAUAACGAGCGCAACCCUUAUUGCCAGUUGCCAUCGGUGAAAAGCCGGGCACUCUGGCGAGACUGCCGUCGUAAGAUGUGAGGAAGGUGGGGAUGACGUCAAAUCAGCACGGCCCUUACGUCCGGGGCUACACACGUGUUACAAUGGGGGGUACAGAAGGCAGCUACACCGCGAGGUGCGGCGAAUCGAAAAAGCCCCUCUCAGUUCGGACUGGAGUCUGCAACCUGACUCCACGAAGCUGGAUUCGCUAAUAAUCGCGCAUCAGCCAUGGCGCGGUGAAUACGUUCCCGGGCCUUGUACACACCGCCCGUCAAGCCAUGGGAGCCGGGAGUGCCUGAAGCGCGUAACCGCAAGGAUCGUGUAAGGGUAAGACCGGUGACUGGGG